rnacentral:rRNA from 1 species
AUGAACGCUGGCGGCGUGCCUAAUACAUGCAAGUCGAGCGAACGGACGAGAAGCUUGCUUCUCUGAUGUUAGCGGCGGACGGGUGAGUAACACGUGGAUAACCUACCUAUAAGACUGGGAUAACUUCGGGAAACCGGAGCUAAUACCGGAUGAUAUUUUGAACCACAUGGUUCAAAAGUGAAAGACGGUCUUGCUGUCACUUAUAGAUGGAUCCGCGCUGCAUUAGCUAGUUGGUAAGGUAACGGCUUACCAAGGCAACGAUGCAUAGCCGACCUGAGAGGGUGAUCGGCCACGCUGGAACUGAGACACGGUCCAGACUCCUACGGGAGGCAGCAGUAGGGAAUCUUCCGCAAUGGGCGAAAGCCUGACGGAGCAACGCCGCGUGAGUGAUGAAGGUCUUCGGAUCGUAAAACUCUGUUAUUAGGGAAGAACAUAUGUGUAAGUAACUGUGCACAUCUUGACGGUACCUAAUCAGAAAGCCACGGCUAACUACGUG